AAAAAUGACAAUGUCUAGUUACAACAAAAUUUAGCCCAAACCCCAAAAUUACAUUGGCCCGAAAUAAAACAAAAAAUAAAUAAUAACCCCAAAAGCCCAAUUUACAAAACCCAUUUUCGCGGCCCAACAAUCAGCAAACCACUCAAAACCCUAAACGCCUUUUAGCCUCCGCCGCUCCCACGCACAGCAGCUCCCACGUGCGCCUCCACGCCAAUUGGCCAUGUACCUGCAACGCAACAAACAAAGAAACAAGCAGCAAAAAGAAACGGACUAAUAGCAAAAUGGAAGCAAAGAAUUAUUUCCUUUUUUCAUAUAUCUAUUUUUCUUUUUCGUUUCAGCUAUAAAAGGCAAUUAAAAUCUGUAAAAUAAGGGGGGAUUCGAAAAAAUAGAAAUACAAAAGAAAUCGAAUAUCAGUUUUUUUUUUGAAGGUGAUUCUCAGAGUUUUUUUUCUUUAUUUUCUAUCUUCGAUUUGAUAUUCAUUUUUUUAUAUAUGCGAAAAAAGUAAAAGAGGAGAAACGAAAAAGGCCAUACCUUCGUGAGUGCACCGUCGGAAUCUCCGCUUACUCCGUCCCAAAUCGGAGUUGAGAGUGGAGGGUUUCAAGCUUGCACAACGGCAAAGAGAAUAGGA
rnacentral:lncRNA from 1 species